CAGUCGCCGCGGGAAUACGAAGGGGGCUAGCGUUGUUCGGAUUUACUGGGCGUAAAGGGUGCGUAGGCGGACUGAUAAGUCAGGGGUGAAAUCCCAAGGCUCAACCUUGGAACUGCCUUUGAUACUGUUAGUCUUGAGUUCGAGAGAGGUGAGUGGAACUGCGAGUGUAGAGGUGAAAUUCGUAGAUAUUCGCAAGAACACCAGUGGCGAAGGCGGCUCACUGGCUCGAAACUGACGCUGAGGCACGAAAGCGUGGGGAGCAAACAGGAUUAGAUACCCGAGUAGUCCCUGUCUCUUAUAC
rnacentral:rRNA from 1 species